rnacentral:rRNA from 1 species
AGAGUUUGAUCCUGGCUCAGGACGAACGCUGGCGGCGUGCUUAACACAUGCAAGUCGAACGGGAGGAAAAGAGAAGCUUGCUUCUUUUUGAAUCUAGUGGCAAACGGGUGAGUAACACGUAAACAACCUGCCUUCAGGAUGGGGACAACAGACGGAAACGACUGCUAAUACCGAAUGUGUUCCGGAGACCGCAUGAUUUCCGGAAGAAAGGAUGGCCUCUAUUUAUAAGCUAUCGCCUGAAGAGGGGUUUGCGUCUGAUUAGGCAGUUGGUGAGGUAACGGCCCACCAAACCUACGAUCAGUAGCCGGUCUGAGAGGAUGAACGGCCACACUGGAACUGAGACACGGUCCAGACUCCUACGGGAGGCAGCAGUGGGGAAUCUUCCGCAAUGGACGAAAGUCUGACGGAGCAACGCCGCGUGAGUGAUGACGGCCUUCGGGUUGUAAAGCUCUGUGAUCGGGGACGAAUGGCUGGUGCGUUAAUACCGCAUCAGAGUGACGGUACCCGAAUAGCAAGCCACGGCUAACUACGUGCCAGCAGCCGCGGUAAUACGUAGGUGGCAAGCGUUGUCCGGAAUUAUUGGGCGUAAAGCGCGCGCAGGCGGCUUCUUAAGUCCAUCUUAAAAGUGCGGGGCUUAACCCCGUGAUGGGAUGGAAACUGGGAGGCUGGAGUAUCGGAGAGGAAAGUGGAAUUCCUAGUGUAGCGGUGAAAUGCGUAGAGAUUAGGAAGAACACCGGUGGCGAAGGCGACUUUCUGGACGACAACUGACGCUGAGGCGCGAAAGCGUGGGGAGCAAACAGGAUUAGAUACCCUGGUAGUCCACGCCGUAAAC